rnacentral:rRNA from 1 species
CAGCAGCCGCGGGAAUACGUAGGGUGCGAGCGUUAAUCGGAAUUACUGGGCGUAAAGCGUGCGCAGGCGGUUUUGUAAGACAGGCGUGAAAUCCCCGGGCCCAACCUGGGAAUGGCGCUUGUGACUGCAAAGCUAGAGUGCGGCAGAGGGGGAUGGAAUUCCGCGUGUAGCAGUGAAAUGCGUAGAUAUGCGGAGGAACACCGAUGGCGAAGGCAAUCCCCUGGGCCUGCACUGACGCUCAUGCACGAAAGCGUGGGGAGCAAACAGGAUUAGAUACCCCGGUAGUCCCUGUCUCUUAUAC